AGCUUAAUGAACUUAAUAUUAAGUUAUACCUGCCCAGUGAAAGUUUCUUUAACGGCCGCAGUACUCUGACUGUGCUAAGGUAGCAUAAUCAAUUGUCUUUUAAUUAGAGACUAGAAUGAAUGGGAAAAUAUUGGAAAACCUGUCUCUUAAAAUGAUUCCUCUAAUUUUCUGAGAAGGUGCAAAUUCCUUUAAGCUUAGAUAAAAGACGAGAAGACCCUUAGAAUUUUUAUAAGUUUGUUAAUCUUAACCUUGAUUUUUGUUGGGGCAGCAAGGAAGUCAGUCUAAUAUUCUAACUUUAGUAUAUUAUAAACAUAACAGACAGGUCUUUAUUGAUUAAAUUACCUUAGGGAUAACAGCGUAAUUUCUUUAGAAGAUUGCGACCUCGAUGUUGGACUAGGAACUCUAUAGUUAGACACUAGAAGAGACAGUUCUGUUCGAACUAUUUUAUUUUCUCCU
rnacentral:rRNA from 1 species